ensembl:lncRNA
CCCGAAAUAACGUGCUUUCCCCUCCAACCCCCACCCGGUUCUUUGGGGGCCAGGGUUUGGAGAGGUCGUGCUUUCAGAAAAACAUUCGCAUGGAUCGGGGUGUGCUUUACCUUCUUCAGUCCACAGUAAAGAAGCUGGAGACCCAAGGGCAGAGGGAAGCGGAGGGAACGCUUUCGGGGAGAACCGGACGCCGUCCCUCGAUGGCAAACCUUUCCUACAGAAGCUGCCCAUCAGACCAGUGAAACCCGCAGGACAAAAAGUUCUAUUCAAGAAGGGAACAACAAGGAGGAAAAAAAGGUCAACAUUCCCAGGACAGAAGAGCUCCUUGGCACUGGAACCCUCCUGGUCCGGUGAGGGAGGGAUGAGGGUCGCUCGUGUAUGA